rnacentral:rRNA from 1 species
CCAGACUCCUACGGGAGGCAGCAGUGGGGAAUAUUGCACGAUGGGGGAAACCCUGAUGCAGCGACGCCGCGUGAGUGAAGAAGUAUUUCGGUAUGUAAAGCUCUAUCAGCAGGGAAGAUAAUGACGGUACCUGAGUAAGAAGCCCCGGCUAACUACGUGCCAGCAGCCGCGGUAAUACGUAGGGGGCAAGCGUUAUCCGGAUUUACUGGGUGUAAAGGGAGCGUAGACGGCAUGGCAAGUCUGAAGUGAAAGCCCGGGGCUCAACCGCGGGACUGCUUUGGAAACUGUUAAGCUGGAGUGCAGGAGAGGUAAGUGGAAUUCCUAGUGUAGCGGUGAAAUGCGUAGAUAUCAGGAGGAACACCGGCGGCGAAGGCGGCCUGCUGGACCGCGACUGACGUUGAGGCUCGAAAGCGUGGGGAGCGAACAGGAUUAGAUACCCGUGUAG